GACGAACGCUGGCGGCGUGCCUAAUACAUGCAAGUUGAGCGCUGAAGGUUGGUACUUGUACCGACUGGAUGAGCAGCGAACGGGUGAGUAACGCGUGGGGAAUCUGCCUUUGAGCGGGGGACAACAUUUGGAAACGAAUGCUAAUACCGCAUAAAAACUUUAAACACAAGUUUUAAGUUUGAAAGAUGCAAUUGCAUCACUCAAAGAUGAUCCCGCGUUGUAUUAGCUAGUUGGUGAGGUAAAGGCUCACCAAGGCGAUGAUACAUAGCCGACCUGAGAGGGUGAUCGGCCACAUUGGGACUGAGACACGGCCCAAACGCCUACGGGAGACAGCAGUAGGGAAUCUUCGGCAAUGGACGAAAGUCUGACCGAGCAACGCCGCGUGAGUGAAGAAGGUUGUCGGAUCGUAAAACUCUGUUGGUAGAGAAGAACGUUGGUGAGAGUGGAAAGCUCAUCAAGUGACGGUAACUACCCAGAAAGGGACGGCUAACUACGUG
rnacentral:rRNA from 1 species